AGGACGAACGCUGGCGGCGUGCUUAACACAUGCAAGUCGAACGGUGACCCGGAGCUUGCUCCGGUGAUCAGUGGCGAACGGGUGAGUAACACGUGGGCAACCUGCCCCUAGCUCUGGGAUAACUCCGGGAAACCGGGGCUAAUACCGGAUAUGAAAUCGGAAGGCAUCUUCUGAUUUGGAAAGUUUUUCGGCUAGGGAUGGGCCCGCGGCCUAUCAGCUUGUUGGUGGGUAACGGCCUACCAAGGCGACGACGGGUA
rnacentral:rRNA from 1 species